UAAAAGAAAAAUAUUGAUGCAGCAUG
rnacentral:piRNA from 1 species